AAUAGAAUUAACUUUAAUUAAAAUGUGACUUAGUAUAUUUUAUAGAAGAGUCAGUAGGAUUUAUAGAUUAUUUGUACUGUGAAGGAAUGUUGAAAUAUUUGAAAUUUUAUUAUUUGGAAGUAGAUGGAUGUCGUACCUUGUGUAUCAGGGUUUAUUAAAUGUGGGUUACUGAUUGUAAUGAUCCCGAAACUGAAUGAGUUAGUAUGGUAUGUUAGUUAUUGUGGUAUAGAUAUUAGUAAUAUUAUAUUGGAGAUGAAAUUUUAUUCGCAUUUGGUGAUAUCUGGUUCCCUAAGAAACAAAUUUAAUUUGGUCAUUUUCUGUAUUGCAAUUCGUGAAUGAUUGUAAUGUAGGUUGAUGAUAAUACCUUAUCGGGAUAAGCUGUGAGGUAGAGAGUUAUAUUGUGAAGUGUAUGUUAGGGCGUUAGGCUUUGAAUUAGUCAUUUUGUUUAAGUUUGUAAUAAAAUACUUGGUUUUUGGCUUUGAUUUUAUAAUUGAUUAAUAGUUUAUUAGGGCGAAUCUGUUAAUGUAAUAUAGUUUGUGAUAAUGAUGGAAUUAGUAUAUAGUAUAUGUUUUGGUGAAAAUAGUGGUAAAAUGAUCAUAAGGAACUCGGCAAUUCAAAUUCUCGCCUGUUUAUCAAAAACAUGUCCUUUUGAUGAAAAUUUAAGGUCUGGCCUGCCCACUGAUGUUAUUUAAUGGCCGCGGUAUUUUGACCGUGCAAAGGUAGCAUAAUCAUUAGUCUUUUAAUUGGAGACUGGAAUGAAUGGCUUGACGAGGAAUUAACUGUCUCAUGAUUAGUAGUAGAAUUUAACCUUUGAGUUAAAAGGCUUAGAUGCGGUUAUUAGACGAGAAGACCCUAUAGAGUUUUAUAAUAUUGGUGACUGGUGACGUUAGUUGUAUGGUUGGUUAGUAACUGAUACUAUUGUGUUGGGGUGACAUAAAGAUUUAGCUAACUCUUUAUAGGUGGAGAACAUUAAUUUAUGGUUAGUUGAUCCAUUUUUAGUGAGCAUAAGAUUAAAUUACCUUAGGGAUAACAGCGUAAUUUUGUUUGAGAGCUCCUAUCGACAACAAAGAUUGCGACCUCGAUGUUGGAUUAAGAUAAUUGCUGGGUGUAGCGGUUCAGUAAAUAAGUCUGUUCGACUUUUAAAUUCUUACAUGAUCUGAGUUCAAACCGGCGUGAGCCAGGUUGGUUUCUAUCUGUAACAUGUGGAAUACACCUUAGUACGAAAGGACCAGGUGUGUAAUUUAAUAAUUUUAUAAUGAUUGUUAUUAAUUGUAUUUA
rnacentral:rRNA from 1 species